AACAACACACCAGGGAGAGACUGAGAGGAAAAGGAUUAAAUUAGACAAAUCGGAGUGACACAUUCACUCUAAUGCUGGGUUGGAGAGUUAACAGAACUCAGUAGCUCAUCCACUCUUGACUUUUAAUGACAAAUCCAGCAACAAUUCCAGCAACAAAUCAAUAAUGGACUCACGUAACAAAUCAAGCACUACUUGAGCAACGAAUCGGCGAAGGACUCCAGCAACGACUUAAACAAAGACGCAAGCAAAGAAUCAAGCAACAACUCAAGAAAAGACUCAAUCAAUGAUUUAAACAACUCAAGAAAGAAUACGAGCAACAACUGAAGCACCAAAUACAGCAAAAUUUGAACAUAGACUAAAGCAACAUUGUGACGCCAGUUUCCAGCACUUCUUGGGCGGUAUGGAAAUUCUGAGCGGUCCGUGGGCCGGUCUGACUCUGCUGCUAAGACAGACAAUGACAAAGUCUGAAGCAGAGACAGACAGCUGUCUGCCAUUUUGGCUGCCAGGUCUGCUCCUGUUCCUGUCAGUCUUUGUUCUGCUGUUACAACUGACGGUCUACCUUCACUGGAAGUUGGGCCAGGUGGAGGCUGACUUAACUGCGUUGUCACAUAACCACAGCGCCAUCUUCAGGCCGAUCCAGCAAAGUGCACACCCGAGAAGGAGGAGCGUUGGCUAACAUCAAGUUUGGCAUCAUUUUGCAAAUUGACACUUUAGUGCCGAAUAUUCGGACACGUUUGACUGUUUCAUCAUAAGAUGAAAAGAAAUGACACGACAAGAGUAGUACAACCCUUUAUUGAAAGUGUUACACAGGGAAAGAGUUGCUUUUUGUAAUACAGGACAAUUAAAUGUCUAGAAAGAAACCGAGUGUGGACACAAGUGGCCUACUGUGGAGCAGUGGGGCAGCUGGUGGACUUUCAGAACAUUCUCAUGUUUUCUUGCAAGUGUGAAAAUACAAAACAAUGCUGCAAGCUGGUUUUGAUUGUUGACAACAAAUUGCAGUUUACAGAUGAUUUUUUUUUUAAAGGCAGCAUUUGUGACUGCAGAGCUGCCUUGAUUUGAAACAUUCUGGUAAAUUCACACGUACAUUUACCAGGACCACCAGGAAAGCUUUGGAUAGGCAGCCCCACUACUCCUAAUUUCUAAAAGACAGCUACAAGCUUGUGAAUGGUGUUCAUUAGAAAACAAACAUCAAAGAGAAAAUCUUAGUUUUACAGAAGAAUAGACUGGGCAAAAUAUCUCUACAGCAUGUGACGUAUUAUACAACAUGUUUUCUUAUUUAUUUGAAAAAUAUUCUUUGCCAGAAGAUCAAAGUGGAAUGUCAUUGCAAUGCCAAUGUUGAAUACAGAAACAAUAAGAACACACUUGGGGUUCAAAAAAUUAUAUUUAAAAGUGUACUCAAACAAAUCCAAUUCAAAUGUUUUUACUCCAGUCAAGACAGGACAGUGUGGCUCAAUCUAUAGACACGGAAUGUUAUGUCGUUUUUUUUUUUUUAAUUUUCAUAUUUAUCUUAGUGUUAAUCACGAUUAUGUGCAUCUUUCACCCUUUCAAUGCUGCGUUCACAGCCCCUUGCUGUCUGUAAAAAGGAGCACCGUCAAACCUAAAACAGGCAAUUUUUUUUUUAAAUGACAUCACAAUUACAAAACUUUAAUUUAGCCAAGCACGAAAUAUGACUUUAGUCUAGACAAACGGUACCAGUGGUGAUGAUGUGAUCGAUACAUGUUUAAAUUAUUGUUUUCCUUUUUACGUUCAGUAUAUUAAAUAGCUUUACCUUGACAUGUUUCAAAUGUCAACUGGUGUCUUCUCAUACCAGACAAUAUUUGCAUUUCAAAGAGAGAUUUUCUGGAAAGGAAGGGACAAUUCUAAGGGUGAAAUUGGAGCAUUGAGUAUUGUCAGAUUGAUUCGAUACGAUAUCAACAGGAAUCCUAAAUACUUUGAUUAUUUAAUACUGUGAAAUGUUAAAAAAAAUGUUUGCUAUAGUGACAUUAGUCAAACAACAAUGAAAGGUAGGUAUGAAAAACUCAUUUAUUUAAUAUUGAUCAUCUGAAAUGGACGUAUGCUUUCUCUAGGUUGAAGUGUAGUGAUAUUUUGACACCCAGUGGUCACAGUAAUUCAUUAAAUGAAGGUCCUGAUGCAGUAAAUUGAAUGAUGCAGACACAUUUGUUACUAGAUACUUUCUAAUACACUUUUGUGUGAGUAAUAUGUAAGUACAAUUAUUUGAUACUUGUUUAUAUUGACAAAUGUGCUCUUUUAGACUGUAAUAUUGUUCAAUUAAGGACACUUAUUACAUAUGUCUAGCUUGUGUGGUAUUGUGUGCUUAGCUGUUGUGUAGCUGCUAGGUCCUAGCAGCCUGUAGCCUACCAUGUUUACCUUUUGUAAAUGACUUGACUAAAAUACAAGAAAAGAACAACCUUGUGUGCUUAUUGUAAGACAUUUAGAUGUAAACUGUAAACAAGUAAACACGCUGCAGGACUGCUUGUAUCAAAGAUUGUACCACGCAGUUAUGCAAGCCCAUAUACUCCUAUACUUGUUUUUUGCUGGUACCUCAGCGAUAUUCAAUUUCAAUAAUGGAUAAGCACCAGCUCCCCCAAAAAAGGGAAUAAGCGGUAGAAAUGGAUGGAUGGAUGGAUCGGGACACCCCUAGAAAAUGUUUCCACCUUCCAAUAAUUUCCACCAGAAAGACCAGAUUUUCCCCCGAUCAAUGUUGAAAUGCAAAUAUGAACGACUGUCCACUGUAAAGUACUUGCCAAUAUUACCAUUUGUAAAUGAGAGAAAAGACGGGAGAGAAAGAAGAGGACAAAACUGCCAUAGAAAAAGUUAAAAGGUAGUGUCUGUCAUAAGUGUCACCUUAGCACCGUGACAUGUCACUUAUCAGCUGUACUUUAGUGGUGUGAAAUAUUUAAGAAAUUAAAAAUUUACUCAAUAAGAAAACAAAAUGAGCCAUUGUGUUCUCUACACAUCCUGUCACAUUCACCUCACCUCCAUGUUGUCUUUUCAUAUCAACUUCAGCAUUUUGUGUCUGUGUAAAAACACCGGUAGGGUUCAAACAGUGAGAAAAAGCCACCUCGCAAACAAUUAACUCUCCUAAAUAAAAAUGUGCUCCCUUGCCUGUCUUUAUAGGAACAGGAACUACACAUACCAUUUGUAGCGUCAAAUCAUG